AUGACUCUCGGCAACGGAUAUCUCGGCUCUCGCAUCGAUGAAGAACGUAGCGAAAUGCGAUACUUGGUGUGAAUUGCAGAAUCCCGUGAACCAUCGAGUCUUUGAACGCAAGUUGCGCCCGAAGCCACUAGGCUGAAGGCACGUCUGCCUGGGCGUCUCGC
rnacentral:rRNA from 1 species